CCUACGGGUGGCAGCAGUGAGGAAUAUUGGUCAAUGGGCGUAAGCCUGAACCAGCCAAGUCGCGUGAGGGAUGAAGGUUCUAUGGAUCGUAAACCUCUUUUAUAAGGGAAUAAAGUGCGGGACGUGUUCCGUUUUGAAUGUACCUUAUGAAUAAGGAUCGGCUAACUCCGUGCCAGCAGCCGCGGUAAUACGGAGGAUCCGAGUGUUAUCCGGAUUUGUUGGGUUGAAAGGGUGCGUAGGAGGCCUUUUAAGUCAGGGGGGAAAGUCUGUGGCUCAACCAUAGAAUGGCAGUUGAAACUGGGAGGCUUGAGUAUGUUUGAGGCAGGCGGAAUGCGUGGUGUAGCGGUGAAAUGCGUAGAUAU
rnacentral:rRNA from 1 species